CAGCACCAAGUCUGCCUGGAUGCCACCAUGCUUCUUGCCAUGAUACUAAACAAGUUUUCAGUGGGAAUGAUGUCUCUUCACAGCCAUAAAACCCCAGCUAAGACCCUAAGCAAGUCACAUUUGCCUACAAGACAAUGCCUGCAUCAGACCACAUUGAAUCCUACACUUAGAGCCCCACCCCCUUGGCCUGGAACAGCAGGUCCCUUCACCAGCAGCCCGGUUCCCCUUUGGAGAAAAAGAGCUUCGGCCUAUCACUGCCACCCUGGUAUACACUUGAGUACACACUACUCAAGAAAGCUCCAAAUAUAUAUUAUAAUUAUAAUUAUAAAUGCUUAAAUCGUGGUGUGUAACACACCCACACAAGACAGCACAGCCUUUGAGUUAAGGCUGCCAUUGCUCAGGCCACUGUCAGGCAUGGAGGAGGGAUUGCCCAACCCUCGGUGCCCGAUUACUUCAUCUGUAAAGUUAUUUCAUGCUGCAAGCAGAUGGUGUUUGCUUAUUAAAUACUGAGAACCAUUUUAGAGGCCAAGGCCGUGAGAUAUGUGUGGUUCGGGGAAGGGGAUGUUUACUGUGUUAGGCCCUGUGGCGAGAAAUUGUAUUUACUGCUCCAGUUGACGGUGUUCUUAGCUCUGAUCCACCAAUAGGGACAGGAGUUCAGAGUGUCGAAGCAGUUGACCUUGUUCCAGGAGCUGCUAGAGACUCAGGAGAGCACAGAUGAAGCUGAUUCCUCAUCCACAGUCCAGUACUUUUACAUAAUUCUCAUGUUCUGUUUACAGAUACUCUAUCAGGGACCCAGAAAAGUGACCCAGAGUCUGUGUCACACUGGAAUCAAAACCCGUGUUCUGACAGCCC
rnacentral:lncRNA from 1 species